CAUUUGCUGUUGUGUUAAACUUGUAUUAAAGUUUUUCAUCAUUACCCAUUCAAGCCGUCUCCAACCAUUACUACUGGAAGAUGUCACACACUAUGCACUUUUAUGCCUUUUAGCAUUAUAAAGUAUUUGUUCUCUGUUUUUUAUUGUAAUGUGUGUUUGUUUUUACUAGCGUGGUGUAAAUAAAACAAGGUAACACAUGAUAAUAUAACAUUUAAUAAAUAUUAGUUGACGUUGAAAGUAACAAAUAUUUCAUAUUUUGUUUUUGUCCCAAUUGUUUGAAAAAGGUCUUAUAAAUUCUGUGCAUGACAUAUUUUUUGUUUCCAGGAUGCAAAAAUAAAUAUUCUAGAGCAAAGAGUAAGAACAGUAUAUUAAAUAAUGUAGAGUGGUGUAUGAAUUUGUGUGGCACAAGGGAGGGCUUAGGGUUAUAUAUAUGUCAUUCAAAGUAGCAUUUUUAUGCUUGGUGAAUUAACUCACAAGCGAGUUUAAUUUCUAAACAAGGAGUUGAGUAAGAUCAUGUGUUGAACAAAAAGAUAAAAGUGACUAUUAAUAAUGAGUGAGAACACUUACAUAGAGACAGUGUCUGGUUUGCCUCCUACUUGUUGCUGAAGCUAUCUGUUUUAAACUAGUGAGGUAAGCUUGACAUGAAGUUAUAUUUGUUAUUUACAAACACUGUGUGGUUCAUUGUAAUCCAUUUCACCUCUCAUAAAUAUUGCAACAUAUAGUGAUUACAUUGUCAAUGUCUGAUGUUUUACUUUUGUACUGUGAUUGUCACUAAUGAUGAAUUUAAACUGUAGAAUAGUGAUUUUCAGACCACUAUGCAGGUUUUUUUUACAUUUAUUUGUUAAAUAAUUUGAAAUUGUUUUGAAACAGAGAAAUACACUAUAAUGUCAUGUUGGAAUACAUUUGUGCUUCCAAUUCAGUAAUUUUUAUACUUGUAUCUGUGAAUUAAGUAGAUAUAUGCAGAAUAAGGUAUUUGUAUGUGAUAUUUGGUACAUGUUUUAGAAUGUAAUUAUCACAGGUUGCAAUUCUAUGUAAAUCUAAAUACACAAAGUAGUAGAAUUAAGAAACAUGUUCCAGCUACAAUGCUUCAUUUCAGUUUUACAGCCACGUAAAUGUCUCAUUGUUGUAGUGAAUACACAUAAUUUAUAUUAAGUAAAACAAUUUCUAUUAUAUGAGUUAAACUUCUUUAAGUUCUGUUUCUAUGGGUUAAAACAUAUAUCUGUAAUGCACACAUACCAUUUUGUUGUUAGGUACAAUUUCCAUUCGCAUCAUUUAAACAGUCUCUCUGUUAUUAUACCACCUUUCCAAUUAUAAAUGCAAGACAGUCUGUGGUGUUUUUUUUUUUAAGACUUUACAAAAGUCAUAACAUUAAUAAUAAAAGAAGUGCAUUAUUUUGACUGAUCAAUAGACUUAUGUUUAUAUGCAGUUCCUGAUCCUUGUGUACCUAUGCAAGGAUUUUCAAUUGUUCUUUAUUUAUAGGUUCAUACACUUAUUCAGCUGUGUUUCUUAAUGCUUCAAAAAUGACCUAGACUUUAAACAAAAAAAUGACAUUAGAACUUCCAAAAUUGUUCAUAGUAGAAUGGUGAUAAUCUAACCUGGACAUUUCCACAAGUUACAUGAGGAGCAUGUUAUUUCUAAUAUAUUUACAUUUAAAAAGUAGCAUUAUUAGUAUUCUCAAUAGACUUAUCAAGUAAUUAGGUUCUUUGGCACACAUUUGUACUGCCACUCAAAUGACAGUAUUUGGACAAAUUAUCUUUAAGGUCCAACUCUAUGAACUUUCUAAAUCAAAGAAUACUAUCACAGAUGAUAAUGCAAGUGCAUUCAUUCCAUUAUUAAAUGCAUGAUAAUACUACAAGCUGGUGUUUAAAAAUCCUUUUAGUGGAUGAAAAUAACCAUUCAAUUUCUGUAGAAAGUAACAGAACAGAUACAGAGUGUAAAUACCAUAUAAUACAAUUAUCUAAAGGUGUUGACAGAUCUUGGUAAUUGUUAAUGAUAUAAAAAGAAAAAGGUGCAAGAAUAAUAGCUACAAGUUAAUAGUUACAAGUAGAUAUAUUUUAUCAUAAUGAUCUCUAAAGAGAAAGGAAUAUGAAUGGUUGAAUCUAAAACCUGAUUUGCACUCAAUUAUGAAGAGUUUGAGAUUUCUCGAUGAAAGUCUGAAAGAGGAAUCUUGUAUGAUUCUGGGUCUCUUUCAUAAUAUUCUGGAAGGGGAUUUUCUUUUCAAUCAUCAGUUGUCACUGUCUUAUUGGAAACUUUUCCAAGGCAUCUGGGCAUAGUUCCUACUCAUGUGAAAGGAUAAAUUGAUUAGAAUGUACCAGAUCUGGGAUCAGAUGUUGUUCUGUAAUUCAUUGGUGCUUGAUGGCAGGUUUCUACCCAAAGUGGUGGUCAUUUCAUUGGUCCAUUGACAUAACCCUGGAAGGGGCAGUGCCAUUAUAUCCUUCCAGAGUAUGUGCUGUACCUGUAAAAACACAUAUUUCUUAGCACACGUAUGGUAGGUUUGCAAGUGAAUGCAUUGUAAUGGGUAUUAGAUAUGUAUAGCUAAAUGUAGCAAAGGGCCAGUUAGUUAUAUCUAUCAUCCGUUCUGCUACGACACAUUUUCCAUCUUCCACUUUCUCAAUUAUGGCUUUAUCAUCUAGUAGAGCUGUGCAAGAGAUGGCUGUGACUAUAACUAUUGCAGAGGCUAAUCUUAACUAUUUGGCUUAAUCAUAUUAGCUGCUAUACUUAUACACUCUCCAUGAUGUAAGAAGUCAUCGAUGUAUUCCAUUGCCCUUCCUGGGGUGCUUCGUUCACAUGAUCCCACUAUGCAGGAUAAACUCCUUCCUCUAUAACUCAAUCAGAACAAAGUAGGUCACCAUUGUUUGGUUGAAAUAAGUUAACUGUUCAUGUACAAGAACAUGCAAAUUUGAUGUCUGCAUCAUUUUAAAGCAUUUAGGAACAGUGAAUGAGUGUAAUGAACCUAUAAGUAGAAAACAAUUUAAAAUGCUCUCAGGGGCAAACAGUGAACAGGGACUGCACAUAAAGGUAAGGCUGUUGAUCAGUAGACUUAAGCCAGGAUUGAAUGGAUAACACAGUGCACCUCAUUUAUUAUUAAAUUGAAUUGUUAGUGAUGUCAUAAUCAUUAAUACUAUUGUGUUUUUUUCAUACAUCAUUUUAUCAUGAACAGCUAUUUAAUCAUAAGAGAAUGUUUCAUAAUCUAUAAAUCAUUGAAAUACAUGUCUAGCAUUAUAAAGUGUAAUGAAUGUUACAUCCAUCUAGAUAGAUAUUAAUGGAGGAACGUGUAAUUACUUUAUAUGCUGGUUCUGUGUUCCUAUUCAACCACAUCUGGUUAAAUUGCCAUAACAUAUGCUCAUUGAUAAUGAUAUACAUAGUUAAGUAGGUUUGAUGAGGUGUUCAGAAAUUUGUUCGAUAACUAUUAAAAUAAAGAUUUACUCAAAAGUCCCUUUUUCUGUUAGAAUAUAAAUGUGUAGGGUUAUUUGUGCACUUUUUUUUUGUACAUUUAAAAGAAUACUUGGUUGGUUGUCUUAUGUUUUUGACAAAUUUAACUGCUCUAUCACGUACCAUCCCUUGCAUUAGUUUGCUGAUAGGUGAUAUAGUAGAUCAUGAUAUCAAAAAAGGAUGAUUUAGUAUUUCAGAUAGGUAGUAAGUAGCUUCAAUGAUUAACUUAGUACACUCUACGUUGAAAUAUAAUUGAACUUUCUGCUCAAAUUUGACAAUAAGUUAGAGGAAUAUGUUACAUUGAGGGUGUCUGGGUUUUCUUUCUGUUAAGUCUAAAGCAAUUCAUCUUGGCAAGGAUUACAAGUCAUACUUUAUAUAUUUGUUGUGUCCCUGUCUUGUACAUGCAACACUUAGACUCAUUUGAUGUUUCUGUUUAUAUGCGUAGUUGUCAACUGCCUUAACAGAUGCCUUGACUUUUUUACAAUUGUUUUAGUAAGUACUGACAAAGUUAUAUCACAGAUAGGUUUGUUGAUGGUCAUAAAAAUGUAUGGUGAAAAAUAACAUCCAAGUUUUCUUUGAAAUAUUUGGGUUUCAUCAUUGAAUAAUACCUUUUUUUUUUCAAUUUCUUCUGUAAGAUAGAUAUUUUGUUAUAGCUUUUCUAACUUUUUUUCACUUGACAGUCCUUAUGUGAAAAUUAUAAAACAAACAAAAGUUACACAUGCACCUAAUGAACUCAUAGUGUGGCUUUAGUUACCUCUCCUGUUUACUCUUUUGGUAAAAACUGGUAACAUACAAGUACAAGAAAUAUUGUUUCUUAACAGUGAUAAGAAUAUUAUUAUACCACAGUGCUCAAACUGUUUGAUACAAGUAAAGAAAAAAUUCAGGAUAGCAAAAAUUUAAAAGAAAUCCUUUACUACCUUGACUGAGAUAACUGUCAGGAUCUUAGGCAUAUCCUAUAUUUUAGGAUUAAUAAAGACACUCCCACACAUUGUAUUUAUCAAACUGAUGUAGAAAUCUACAAUUUAUGGUGAUAGAUAUGAGAUCUUUAGUCUUAACAUUGGUGACCUUUUCUGAAUGAUUGUUGUGUGUGUGGUUGCUAUGGUUUGAAGCUAUAUGAAUGUGGCUAUCUAUAGAUUAAGUAGGCCAGAAAUGUGUAACUUAGCAGGAUAAGACCGUAUUUAUUACAUGCAACACAGAAUGUAACCAUUUAAAACUUUAUGGCCCCUGAGUUAAGUCUUUGGUAUAACACUUACUUGUAUGUUAACCUUAAUAUUGUGUAAUUGCGUGUGUCUGUUAUUUUCAAGUAACAUAAAAUUCAGGUACAGAUAAAGUUUAUAUUUCCAUAACUGCUUCUCCAUUGAACCUGGUGAUUUAGAAGGCUUUUCUGUUGUGUUGAGCAUAAACUUUCAUUAACUUCAAAAAUAUGUAGUGCUCUAGUUUUAAUAUCAGUAGAUUCACAGUGUUUCAAUUCUUGGGAAUUUAAAAUAUUUUUAGAAUUGUAAAAGAAAUUAGGUUUUGUAUCAGUGCAACUAUCUUUUCCAGAAUGUUCUGAUAGAAACAUUCUGAGAGAAGUGUGGGAAUCCUUGCUUUGUACUAGUCUCUCACAAUACUUGUUAUUAACACAAAUAUUGCUAGAGGGGCUUUUUCUGCUUGUAUACUUUAUGAUGUUACAAUAAGAACUUUUUGAGGUUACUUUUUUCUUAGUUUGGUUGAGCUCGCUUGAACUGGUUGUGUAUUAUUUUAGGUUCUUGGUGUUAUUAAAUGAUACCUGUGCUGAGGUUGUAAUGAACAUACUAAUAUUUACUUUUAUAUAGAAUGAAGAAUUAUAUUAGAAAUUUUGUGUGCAAAUUAAUUAUUGAACUAAAAAACAUUGCUUUCUUAAAUACAUAAUACAUGGGUAAAUUCCACUUUUUGAUUAUUUUUUGCAAGCUUUCAGCUACUGUACCAUAGCUAUCAUCACAGCAGCUGAAAACUUGAAAAAACAACAAAAAUGUAAGACUUACCUAUUUAUUAUUUAUUUAUGAACACUAGCCAUGUUAAGAGCCUUAAAGAAUAAACAUUACUUUCUCUUGGCAUUACUAAGAGCAAAUUAAGCUGCAGGUUUUUUAGUAUAUUAGUUAACACCCAGCAGAUCAUGUAUAUUUCCAUUUUAUUAUUUUUGUAAGUAUUAUGCAUCAUUUUUAAUGCAUAAUUACACCUUACUAUUAAAAAUUGAUGUGAACUUGUUGAGAUUUUUAAACUUAGUAGUGUUUUAACACCACAUUUAUAUUAGAAACCAGAGAAACUGGUUGCUUAGGUUUUUAUUUUCAUAAUUGUUGUGGGUACAUAGGUUCUUCAAACUAGAGGCAUUCUUAACAAUAGCCAUUCCCACCUAGGGAGUUAAAACUAACACUGGCCAUUUUUUUUAUUUUUAUUUCAGUUACAGUUUUUUUGCAUAUUAAAUCAACUUUGAACAUCAGCUUAUGAAAGAAAAUAUUAAAACCUGUUUUACAGUGUUUCUAAAACAUUGGAUUAAAUACACAAAUAAAACAGUGAAAAUAUUUUCUACAUCUCCAUUUCGUGUUUGAAUUUACUGAUGACAUAAAUUAUGUUCUAGAAUAAUUUAAUAGAAAAUAUGAUUAUUAAAGUAUUAGCCUCUCAGCUUAACACCCUACAAUUUUUCAAACUAUUGUAGUGAAGAAUUAUUUCUUUAAAUACUGUGUAACAUUGAAAAUAUGUUGUCUCUUGAUGGGACAGCAUUAAGUUUAUAGACUUAUAAUAAUAAAACCUGGAGUUUAAUUCCCCACAGCAGAUAGCCCAUUGUGGUUUUGCUCUAAAACAAACAAAAGUGUGUUUAAUGUAUUUAUGCUAAUUUAUGUCUUACUUUGUAAAGCCAAGUAACUUAUUUACUUCAAAGAACUGUUAGCUAUUAUAAUGUAGUAGUAACUUUAUAUGUGUAGAAAAUAAACAUUUUGUCAGAAGGUAGAGAAUAUUGUACUGAUAACUCUACUUUCUGUAAACAUAUUUAUCCAUCAAGGUUAUCUGGUUUUGAAUUAUUGGCCUAGAAAUACCUAUAUUUGUAAAAAUAUAACAAAUAAGAAUUUUCUGCAUUUCCAAUUGAAUUGUAUUCUUGAUAAAGCCUUGUAGCCAAAGGCAGCAAAGUGUCUUAUCACACACACACAACUUUUAUUCUGUUACUGUUUGUAAUACAUGAAACUCAGUGGUUUGCUCGAGAAAUUGCAAUUUCCUUUUGAUGAAAUUUGUCUAUGAGGUUAAAAUAAGUGUAGAUAGAGCUGUUUCUAAAGUAAAAAAAUAAAAUGUGUUAAGGUGAGUUCCAUUUUGUAUAGUGAAUAACCGUUGGUAUCGUUGCUAAGUAUUUCUUUCUUGCUAAUUACCUUAACAUUUCAGCAAGCCAUUAUUUAUAUAGAAACACUAGUUUUGUGAUACUUAGGUUUUCAAACUAUUUAUAUAUAUAAUUUUUGCAUUUAAAUUAAUUUUCUUUUACUAGCUCUAGCUGUAUCUAGUCCAAUUGUUUCCUACAAGAAGAAAAAUUAAGUUUUAACGUGGUUAAUUAGUGAAUAAUUAACAGACAUAAGAGCUAUUUUGAUUGUAUUACUAUUAUACCAGCUUAGUUAGAACAGAAUUUCAUUCUUAAUCUUUUCAUAAUACUUAUUGGUUAAGUAAACUUGUAAUUCAAUUACAAAAUAUUUUAGGAAAAAAAAAAGAAUAGGGGUAGAUUUUGGAAAUUUGUUACUUUUUAUAAAAUGUGGUAGUGGGAGCUGGGUGACAUUGCAAGACUGUUUUAUAAGUGUAAUUCACUUUAAUAUUGAAUACAUGGUAACGGGUAUUAUAUAUGUUGUGUAACAUAAGCUUCAAUAGAAUACAGUUUAGUUACUUUAGGAUCAUGUAUAUUUGACUAAGUAAUUAGGUAUGUUUGUUUGUGUGGUUUUAUUAAUUACUACUGUGUAUUGGUAGUUUCUUGUUUUUUUUCUUAGGAAAGUAUAUAUGUUAACUGUACAACUUUGGUAUACCCAUUGAGCUGCUUUAUCAGUUGAGAUAGGAGUGGAAAAUGUAAUGCAUAGUUUAACAAAAUAAAACAUUUGAUAACAUACCACUA
rnacentral:lncRNA from 1 species